rnacentral:lncRNA from 1 species
AUUUAAGUUAGUGGGUGAUACUGGCCUAUGUUUUAACUGUACAUUUUAGACCUCUGCUUUCUGAAGACUUCAUUACACGUGUAUAGUAACACAUAUCACAUGUUACUAUGAGGUAGGCAAAUAUUCCCUGAGUUUCUUUUAAGCCACUCCAACUUCCAGCUUUCCUUAUGCUCUGUUGUACAAAAGAAAUAUAAAUACAAAAAUUAUAUUUACAGUUUUAUAAGAUAUUAGCACAAAGUCAACCAUUACAUAACACAUUCAACAUUCUCAUUGAUUAUAAUAACAGCACAAUGAAUAUGCAUCAAAAUGUUCACAUUGAAGACCUGGAAUUAGAAUAUCAAUCAAGCAAAACUAAUCCAUAAUUAAAGUGGGAUCAUCCCAUAGGAGAAGCCCCUUGAGUUUUGGUCAGGUGCACCAAUGUUUGUCAAUGCAGUUCUUUCCCAUUGCCUCUUACCCAUCCCUUUCCUACAACUCCCUGUCUCCUUGUUCCACAUUAGUGCCCAUUAAUCGAUCUUGCUUCUCUUUUGGAAUUAUAUUUUAUACUCCGGGAACCUUGAAUGUGUUAAUAAUUAUCACCUCUGUUUAUGCCUACCUCUUCUACUUCAAAUUGUUCUGUACUUUGCCUUGGCCUCAAUUAGUCAGAUAUUAUUUUUGAAUCAGAAAUAUCUUGUGAUGUGAAAAGAUCUGCACUACUAGCUACCAGCUUUAGGAUCCUAGGUAGUUUGUUUUUCUCCUAAAUCAAGACCUUAGGUAUACAUUUUAUAGGAAUAAAGAUACCUUUAAAAGAAAUCUAAAAAAAAAAAAAUCAGCCUGCUUGUUUGACACUAAAACUGAUCACUUUUUAAUGAAAAAGAAUUCUCAGAGUAAGUCAUCAAUAUGGAUGCAGAGUAGCUAUGGUUUCUUUCAUGGAGGAUAAAUUAAAUUGAACAUCUCAAGGACAAACAUCAAUAAGAGCUGAAAUAAACAGAAUGUGUUGAGAUGAAAUGUCACUCCAUUUAUAUUUCAAACUCCUGUGCAAAUGCUUCUGCCAAUAUGUGCUCCGGGCUUCGAAAAGUAAACAUAAAAGUUAUUUAUUGUCUUCUAAGCCACUGAAUGGUAAUCGUUAUAACUUAUCAUGAUAAAUUGGUUAAAACUGAUUAUUGCCCAUCCUUACAAGUUCCCCCAAACUAAACUUAUACAUACCUGGGUUUUAAUGAAAUGAUUAAAGGUACAGAAAUACUGUCAGCGUUCAAUGUCUACCUCUCUCUCCUGCAUGAAAUAGCAGUGGGCUAUUUCUCUGAAAUCUGAGAGCGCUGAAGAAUCAACUCUAGCAACUAGAGAAACCGCUUCUAGUGUCUACUGGUGCUGAGAAAAUGGCAUCUUACAGCGGUCGGUGAGAUUUCCUGUGUUUAUGGGACUAAGCAGUUGGUUUUGAAUUUCUCAUCUCUGAGAGCUCAUCUCUGCUCCAUGCCCGGGGUUAUUUAGAAUGAAACAGGAAGACCCUAUCAUCUUCCCUAGCAGAGUGGGAAUACAAACACUUAAAUUAAAAAAGAAAUUUUAAGAACUUUCCAGCUAACUGUUUUUGGAUUACCCUGUGCACAUGGAACUUGGGUUAGAAAAACUUAUGUCUAGGUCUCUACUUAUCCUUUUCAAUUCUGGGACCAUCUCCUGUCACCCCAGUGGUCUUUAAUCUCCACACGGUGGUGAUGCAAAGUCCCAAGAGGACAUUUCAAAAGCAAAAGCAUCUCUCUUGGGAGCCAUUGGGUUGCAGGUGCCAUAGGGCAUCAGGAGCGCCCGUUUGCUCUUUCCUACAGCUUUCUCUAAUACAUCACAUGGCUUUGCUUAAGACAUUAGCUUGCAUUCAGUUUCAUCUCUAAAACAAGAUGAGGCAGUUUGUUCUUUAUGAACUCCUCGGUUCCAUUUAGUUCAACAAUUUUGACUUAAUUGCUGAAUUUACACACACAAAGGUGCCUCAAAUUGGCAGUGUGGCAAUGCAGUACAUAUAUUUGAAACACUGACCAUUUAAUGAAAAAAAAAAUGAAGUGCAUAUGUUAAUCUCCUUUAGAUUCUAUGACUUUUGUUCAUAUUUUAAUCUACACAUUUUUGUUGCUUUCAAAAGAAGUGAAAAUGGGAUUUGAAAGUCAACUAAAACCACUUUGUAUCCAGACAGCCUUUAAUCUUUAAAAUCAAUUCACAGGUUGCCUAUGACAAUAGAAGUAUUGUUUGUAUUAGCAUUUGAUGCAGGGAAUGAAAGGAAAUAUCGAAUUAGCACAAACACAAAGUUUAGAAUUCCAGGCUUUUUGCAAAAGAAAAAAACCAAUCACUUAUCAGCAGAUCUGCUUUUCAGGCAAGGAAAUGCAUAUCAACUUUUUAGCUUUUAUUACUUCAUGACAAAACAGUAUACAACUUAAGAUAGUAGGACAAUAAGAUACUGAACAUUUAUUUCUCCCCAUUUUCUGUCCAGAAUCUAGCAUUUCUCUCAUUAAUAUCAUCAGGAGUGCAUCCUGUUGCCCUCCUCUGGACAGAGUUAUUCACUAUUUUUAAUUCUGGCACCACCCCCUGUCACUUCAGUGGUCUCUAAUCUCCAUACUGUGGUAAUGCAAAGUCCCAAGAGGACAGAAGCUGCUAACCUUCACUUUGUCAUUAUUACCUAAUCAGAGCCACAUCUGCCUGCUUAGAGGCAGGUCAGAAAGCUCUGCCUGCAGUAAGAGAUUACAGGAAGAGACCCCACCUGUUGAUGAUGGAUAUAAGAGAGCUGCACUGCAAAGUAGCAGGACCUUGGGAAGAGUGGGCAAUUAUAGCAAUUUGCCAUACCAACGGGGCCUUUGCAUACUGACCACUUGCAGAAAACAUCUAUCUUCAUUGUCUCAGCAUCUCUGUGUUUAAAUACUAUGUAAAAGGAAAGAAGUCUUAAUAACUAAACUCCAUAUUCAGAGCAGAUGGGAGACUUGUAAGGUCACUAGUUCUGGUUUAUUGUAGCAGCUAUGAAACUAUUGUUUGUGUUUUUGUUUUUGUUUUUUAACAAAAUCUCAACUGUUCAAUUUCACUAAUGAAGACUGGGGACCAAAAAGCCUGGGAAAAAUCUUGAUAGCUCAGAGUGGCAGAGAAAGUGCCCAGAUGACCUUCUUCCACAGCAGAACAUCCCGAAAUGAAGUUCUCCUUCACACCAUCUCAAAUACCCUUCAGACUGAGUGUUCCUCCCUUCUACUCCCUGUGCCUCUCUCUGUCCAUCCUCCUGACUCUCAAUUUUUUUUCCUAUGUUCACUCCCUGUAAAUUGGUUGUUUGUUACACAUCUUGGCCUAUGGUUGACUUUAUUUAAUCAUAUUUAUAAUAAACAGAAAGCUCUGGGGUUAAAGGUACGUCCUGGGAUAUGAUCAACAGACUCACACACCUGCUGCUAUGCAUUCCUCACUGUCUUGGAAUUCCCCUUACACUGUGAGGGGAAACUAGGAAAUGGGAUGACAUUUUAAAUGUAAAUAAAUAAAAUAUCU